rnacentral:lncRNA from 1 species
ACCAAUACACUUCUAUACAAGCCAAAAAUACUCUAUGUAUGUGUAUAUAUAUAUAUAUAUAUAUAGAUACAUACAUUUUAUAGUUGCGUGUGUGUGUGAAUCCUAAACACCACACGAAUGCUCAUGGAAAGUCCAACGUUAUUUCAAAUAUCAUUCCUAUCUCUUUCGAUGCAAAAUUGCUCAUGUGGUGUGCACACAAUCCGUUUACCGACAGUCCAGUGUCCACGCACCCACUAGUGUCGGCAAAGAAUGUGCAGGUGCCGAAGGCGAAGAAGGCGUUAGUCGGGACGCAGAUCGAUCCAUCGAUUCAUCCAUGCAAGUCCUCGGAGUGGCCGAUUCCCAGCUUGAAUUUUCCACACCCACGCCCGGCCGUUACGAAUUUCGCACAAGGGAGCAGUGGCCGAUGGUGGCGACGGAGUUCGCCGCUGGAAUGGUGUCGCACUCGACGCCGAUGCAGUCAGAUGAGCCGGAGGCGUGGAGCCACCUCCGAGUAGCCCACCCCAACCCAAUUUAGACACGGCACGAAAUCGUCUCAAGAAUAUCGCGCCACCGCCCCCAUAAAUUUCUGUGGCGGUAAAUCGGGAGCAAGAGCAGGUACCGACAGACUCUCUGACGCAGAAUAUGCGCCGCCCUUCCCCACAGCGAUGCGAUGUUCGGAUCCUGGGUUGGCCAGCGGGAUGCGCGUGGCCCCU